rnacentral:rRNA from 1 species
ACGGCUCAGUAACACGUGGACAACNUACCCUAUGGAGGGGGAUAACCCCGGGAAACUGGGGAUAAUACCCCAUAGACUAUAGAUGCUGGAAUGCUUUGUAGUUGAAAGGUCAGCCGCCAUAGGAUGGGUCUGCGGCCGAUUAGGUAGUUGUUGGGGUAACGGCCCAACAAGCCUGUAAUCGGUACGGGUUGUGGGAGCAAGAGCCCGGAGAUGGAUUCUGAGACACGAAUCCAGGCCCUACGGGGCGCAGCAGGCGCGAAAACUUUACAAUGCGGGAAACCGUGAUAAGGGAACUCCGAGUGCCCGUAAAAUCGGGCUGUCCAUCUGUGUAAAUAACAGGUGAAGAAAGGGCCGGGCAAGACCGGUGCCAGCCGCCGCGGUAAUACCGGCGGCUCGAGUGGUGGCCACUAUUACUGGGCUUAAAGCGUUCGUAGCUGGUCUGUUAAGUCUCUGGGGAAAUCUACUGGCUUAACCAAUAGGCGUCUCAGGGAUACUGGCAGACUAGGGACCGGGAGAGGUGAGAGGUACUCCAGGGGUAGGAGUGAAAUCCUGUAAUCCUUGGGGGACCACCUGUGGCGAAGGCGUCUCACCAGAACGGCUCCGACAGUGAGGGACGAAAGCUGGGGGAGCAAACCGGAUUAGAUACCCGGGUAGUCCCAGCCGUAAACGAUGCGCGUUAGGUGUAUCGGUGACCACGAGUCACCGACGUGCCGAAGAGAAAUCGUGAAACGUGCCGCCUGGGAAGUACGGUCGCAAGGCUGAAACUUAAAGGAAUUGGCGGGGGAGCAC